UGAGAGCUGUCCAGGCUGAAUGCCCAGUGG
rnacentral:piRNA from 1 species